UACGAAGGGGGCUAGCGUUGCUCGGAAUCACUGGGCGUAAAGGGUGCGUAGGCGGGUCUUUAAGUCAGGGGUGAAAUCCUGGAGCUCAACUCCAGAACUGCCUUUGAUACUGAGGAUCUUGAGUUCGGGAGAGGUGAGUGGAACUGCGAGUGUAGAGGUGAAAUUCGUAGAUAUUCGCAAGAACACCAGUGGCGAAGGCGGCUCACUGGCUCGAUACUGACGCUGAGGAGCGAAAGCGUGGGGAGCGAACGGG
rnacentral:rRNA from 1 species